rnacentral:rRNA from 1 species
AUUGAACGCUGGCGGCAGGCCUAACACAUGCAAGUCGAACGAGUGGCGGACGGGUGAGUAAUGUCUGGGAAACUGCCUGCUGGUGGUGGAUAACUACUGGAAACGGUAGCUAAUACCGCCUACCAUCUGAUGUGCCCAGAUGGGAUUCGCUAGUAGGUGGGGUAAAGGCUCACCUAGGCGACGAUCCCUAGCUGGUCUGAGAGGAUGACAAGCCCCACUGGAACUGAGACAAGGGCCAGACUACUACGGGAGGCAGCAGUGGGGAAUAGUGCACAAUGGGCGCAAGGGUGAUGCAGCCAUGCCGAGUGUAGGAAGAAGGCAUGCGGGUUGGAAAGUACUUUCAGCGGGGAGGCGGUACCAGAAGAAGAAGCACCGGCUAACUCCGUGCCAGCAGCCGCGGUAAUUC